rnacentral:rRNA from 1 species
AUUGAACGCUGGCGGCAGGCUUAACACAUGCAAGUCGAACGAGCGGCGGACGGGUGAGUAAUGUCUGUGAAACUGCCUGAUGGAGGGGGAUAACUACUGGAAACGGUAGCUAAUACCGCCUACCAUCUGAUGUGCCCAGCUUGGGUUGGCUAGUAGGUGGGGUAACGGCUCACCUAGGCGACGAUCCCUAGCUGGGCUGAGAGGAUGACCAGCCACACUGGAACGGGGACACGGUCCAGACUCCUACGGGAGGCAGCAGUGGGGAAUAUUGCACAAUGGGCGCAAGCCUGAUGCAGCCAUGCCGCGUGUAUGAAGAAGGCCUUCGGGUUGUAAAGUACUUUCAGCGGGGAGGCGUUACCCGCAGAAGAAGCACCGGCUAACUCCGUGCCAGCAGCCGCGGUAAUUC